AUUGAACGCUGGCGGCAGGCCUAACACAUGCAAGUCGAGCGCGCGGCGGACGGGUGAGUACUGUCUGGGAAACUGCCUGAUGGAGGGGGAUACCUACUGGAAACGGUAGCUAAUACCGCAUCCCAUCAGCUGGGCCCAGACGGGAUUAGAUAGUAGGUGGGGUAACGGCUCACCUAGGUGACGAUCCAUAGGUGGUCUGAGAGGAUGACCAGCCACACUGGAACUGAGACACGGUCCAGACUCCUACGGGAGGCAGCAGUGGGGAAUAUUGCACAAUGGGCGAAAGCCUGAUGCAGCCAUGCCGCGUGUGUGAAGAAGGUCUUCGGGUUGUAAAGCACUUUCAGCGGGGAGGCGUUACCCGCAGAAGAAGCACCGGCUAACUCCGUGCCAGCAGCCGCGGUAAUAC
rnacentral:rRNA from 1 species